AUACGGAGGAUGCGAGCGUUAUCCGGAUUUAUUGGGUUUAAAGGGUGCGUAGGCGGGCUGUUAAGCGUGAGGUGAAAGCUCGGGGCUCAACCCCGGAACUGCCUCGCGAACUGGCGGUCUUGAAUGUCCGUGCCGUGGGAGGAAUGUGUGGUGUAGCGGUGAAAUGCAUAGAGAUCACACAGAACACCGAUUGCGAAGGCAGCUCACGAACGGAUGAUUUACGCUGAGGCACGAAAGCGUUGGGAUCAAACAGGAUUAGAUACCCUGGUAGUCCACGCAGUAAACGAUGAUAACUAGCCGCUGGGCAUUCGUGUUCAGUGGCCAAGCGAAAGCGAUAAGUUAUCCACCUGGGGAGUACGACCGCAAGGUUGAAACUCAAAGGAAUUGACGGGG
rnacentral:rRNA from 1 species